AUCAAUAAACCUGGUACCACCUGUAUAUUGUGGGUCAAUCUCAGGAGAAUUUGAAGGGAGUUAACUCUGACAAAAACUGAUUGGGACCCCAUCAGCUGGUAAGUGGGCACUCCAACCAAGAUUGCUUUGGAAUUUUUUAUGGGUGUCUGUUCUCUGUAUUGGCAUGAAUGGUCAAGAGCUGUGGAAGUUUGUGUUGCCCAGGAUUUUGCAGCAGAACAUGGAGAAGACAUUAGUCAAUGCUUUCACCCAGACUAGUGCCUCAAACUAGUUGCCAAACAGUUUGAUGUAUCUAGGUACAGGACUCAAACUACAUUAUAUAUAGGUUUUUCAUGUCUUUUCAUGUGGGUAUGUAUAAAUCCAAAAUCAACCUGGGUGGACUGUGAGUUUCGGAAGAGGAAGGCUGGAUGGAGAGAGGCUACUCAAACUUCCCCCCUCUAUGGAUUUCUAUGCUCUAAUCCACCUUCCCUAGCCCCCCCCCACCAUCCAUGUUGAGAAAGAUAUAGGGGUGCAUGUGGCUUCUAAAAAAAAGUCACAUACAGACACAUGAAAAGGAAGAGGGAGAAGAUGUGGAGGCUACGAUUUGUAGGGAAAGGACCUUGAGAAGAUAUGAUAGAGUGAAAGAUACCUUUCCCAAACAUUAAACAGAGUGGGUCACCAAAGUUGCUCCUUUCUCAAGGCACUCUGUCGUCUAGGCCUGGACCCCUACUUGACCAUGCCUAUCAGACAGCCACAACCUAUCUGCUUGCCACUGGAUUCUUGUGCCUCUAGAGUCUAGCCUAGCAUGACUACUGUCCAGCAUCUUGACAAUGACCAAGAUCUGUCCUCAUUUUUUCUUGUUUACCAGGAACAGAGAUCAUUUGCCAUGUAAAUAUUUAUAUCAGGCGUUGUGGCACAAACAUUUCUGACAUCUGUUGAUAAAAGUCAAGACCAACUGAAGGCCCAACAAUGAUUAACCCAUCUUCAUAUCCAUCUUUUAUCAAUAAAAUACAGGAUCUAGCAUGUUUCAGAGAUGAAUAUUAAACAUAAGUCUCAU